GGGGAAUAUUGGACAAUGGGCGCAAGCCUGAUCCAGCCAUGCCGCGUGAGUGAUGAAGGCCCUAGGGUUGUAAAGCUCUUUUGUGCGGGAAGAUAAUGACGGUACCGCAAGAAUAAGCCCCGGCUAACUUCGUGCCAGCAGCCGCGGUAAUACGAAGGGGGCUAGCGUUGCUCGGAAUCACUGGGCGUAAAGGGUGCGUAGGCGGGUCUUUGAGUCAGGGGUGAAAUCCUGGAGCUCAACUCCAGAACUGCCUUUGAUACUGAGGAUCUUGAAUUCGGGAGAGGUGAGUGGAACUGCGAGUGUAGAGGUGAAAUUCGUAGAUAUUCGCAAGAACACCAGUGGCGAAGGCGGCUCACUGGCCCGAUACUGACGCUGAGGCACGAAAGCGUGGGGAGCAAACA
rnacentral:rRNA from 1 species